UACGAAGGGGGCUAGCGUUGCUCGGAAUCACUGGGCGUAAAGCGCACGUAGGCGGAUUGUUAAGUCAGGGGUGAAAUCCUGGAGCUCAACUCCAGAACUGCCUUGGAUACUGGCGAUCUUGAGUCCGGGAGAGGUGAGUGGAACUGCGAGUGUAGAGGUGAAAUUCGUAGAUAUUCGCAAGAACACCAGUGGCGAAGGCGGCUCACUGGCCCGGUACUGACGCUGAGGUGCGAAAGCGUGGGGAGCAAACAGG
rnacentral:rRNA from 1 species